rnacentral:rRNA from 1 species
GAUGAACGCUGGCGGCGUGCUUAACACAUGCAAGUCGAACGGAAAGGCUCCUGCUUGCAGGGGUACUCGAGUGGCGAACGGGUGAGUAACACGCGGGUGAUCUGCCCUGCACUUCGGGAUAAGCCUGGGAAACUGGGUCUAAUACCGGAUAGGACGAUGGUUUGGAUGCCAUUGUGGAAAGUUUUUCGGUGUGGGAUGAGCUCGCGGCCUAUCAGCUUGUUGGUGGGGUAAUGGCCUACCAAGGCGUCGACGGGUAGCCGGCCUGAGAGGGUGUACGGCCACAUUGGGACUGAGGUACGGCCCAGACUCCUACGGGAGGCAGCGGUGGGGAAUAUUGCACAAUGGGCGCAAGCCUGAUGCAGCGGCGCCGCGUGGGGGAUGACGGCCUUCGGGUUGUAAACUCCUUUCGCUAGGGACGAAGCGCAAGUGACGGUACCUGGAGAAGAAGCACCGGCUAACUACGUG